UAGCUGAGGAAAAGGAAACCAACAGGGAUUGCCCCAGUAACGGCGAGUGAAGCGGCAACAGCUCAAAUUUGAAAUCUGGCUCUCGGGCCCGAGUUGUAAUUUGUAGAGGAUGCUUUUGGCGAGGUGGCUUCUGAGUUCCCUGGAACGGGACGCCAGAGAGGGUGAGAGCCCCGUAUAGUCGCACACCAAGCCUUUGUAAAGCUCCUUCGACGAGUCGAGUAGUUUGGGAAUGCUGCUCAAAAUGGGAGGUAUAUCUCUUCUAAAGCUAAAUAUAGGCCAGAGACCGAUAGCGCACAAGUAGAGUGAUCGAAAGAUGAAAAGCACUUUGAAAAGAGGGUUAAAUAGCACGUGAAAUUGUUGAAAGGGAAGCGCUUGUGACCAGACUUGUGCCGGGCUGAUCAUCCGCCGUUCUCGGUGGUGCACUCGACCCGGCUCAGGCCAGCGUCGGUUCUCGUAGGGGGAUAAAAGCUUCGGGAACGUGGCACCUUCGGGUGUGUUAUAGCCCGCUGCUUAAUACCCCUUGUGGGGAC
rnacentral:rRNA from 1 species